rnacentral:rRNA from 1 species
GGCUUUGAAGUGUGGACGCCAGUCUGCAUGGAGCCGACCUUGAAAUACCACCCUUUAAUGUUUGAUGUUCUAACGUUGACCCGUAAUCCGGGUUGCGGACAGUGUCUGGUGGGUAGUUUGACUGGGGCGGUCUCCUCCUAAAGAGUAACGGAGGAGCACGAAGGUUGGCUAAUCCUGGUCGGACAUCAGGAGGUUAGUGCAAUGGCAUAAGCCAGCUUGACUGCGAGCGUGACGGCGCGAGCAGGUGCGAAAGCAGGUCAUAGUGAUCCGGUGGUUCUGAAUGGAAGGGCCAUCGCUCAACGGAUAAAAGGUACUCCGGGGAUAACAGGCUGAUACCGCCCAAGAGUUCAUAUCGACGGCGGUGUUUGGCACCUCGAUGUCGGCUCAUCACAUCCUGGGGCUGAAGUAGGUCCCAAGGGUAUGGCUGUUCGCCAUUUAAAGUGGUACGCGAGCUGGGUUUAGAACGUCGUGAGACAGUUCGGUCCCUAUCUGCCGUGGGCGCUGGAGAACUGAGGGGGGCUGCUCCUAGUACGAGAGGACCGGAGUGGACGCAUCACUGGUGUUCGGGUUGUCAUGCCAAUGGCACUGCCCGGUAGCUAAAUGCGGAAGAGAUAAGUGCUGAAAGCAUCUAAGCACGAAACUUGCC